CAGGACGAACGCUGGCGGCGUGCUUAACACAUGCAAGUCGAACGGGGAUAUUGAUGGAAGUUCUUCGGGAUGGAAGUCAGUAUCGAGUGGCGGACGGGUGAGUAACGCGUGAGCAACCUGUCUCAGACAGGGGAAUAACACUUGGAAACAGGUGCUAAUACCGCAUAAGACCACGGUACCACAUGGUACAGGGGUAAAAGGAGGAAUCCGGUUUGAGGUGGGCUCGCGUCCGAUUAGAUAGUUGGUGAGGUAACGGCCCACCAAGUCGACGAUCGGUAGCCGACCUGAGAGGGUGAUCGGCCACAUUGGAACUGAGAGACGGUCCAAACUCCUACGGGAGGCAGCAGUGGGGAAUAUUGGGCAAUGGGCGAAAGCCUGACCCAGCAACGCCGCGUGAGUGAAGAAGGCUUUCGGGUUGUAAAGCUCUGUUAUAGAGGACGAAGGAAGUGACGGUACUCUAUAAGGAAGCCCCGGCUAACUACGUGCCAGCAGCCGC
rnacentral:rRNA from 1 species